UAGGGAAUCUUCCGCAAUGGGCGAAAGCCUGACGGAGCAACGCCGCGUGAGUGAUGAAGGUCUUCGGAUCGUAAAACUCUGUUAUUAGGGAAGAACAAAUGUGUAAGUAACUAUGCACGUCUUGACGGUACCUAAUCAGAAAGCCACGGCUAACUACGUGCCAGCAGCCGCGGUAAUACGUAGGUGGCAAGCGUUAUCCGGAAUUAUUAGGCGUAACGCGCGCGUAGGCGGUUUUUUAAGUCUGAUGUGAAAGCCCACGGCUCAACCGUGGAGGGUCAUUGGAAACUGGAAAACUUGAGUGCAGAAGAGGAAAGUGGAAUUCCAUGUGUAGCGGUGAAAUGCGCAGAGAUAUGGAGGAACACCAGUGGCGAAGGCGACUUUCUGGUCUGUAACUGAAGCUGAUGUGCGAAAGCGUGGGGAUCAAGCAGA
rnacentral:rRNA from 1 species